rnacentral:lncRNA from 1 species
CGGGCAUGGAGAAUUUGGGGCCUUUGACUUUCCCAUCCACGCUCAGCUCUGGAGCCUCCACGUCCACGCUGGGGCCCGAAACGGCCACGUCACCCUUGGGGAGGGUCAGGUCCACGUCCACCCCAUCCCCUUUGAAGCCGGGCAUGGAGAAUUUGGGCAUCUUGAACUUGGGCAGUUUGAAUUUGCCCUCAGGGCUGUCGAUGGUGACGUCGGGGACGGCGACGUUGACCUCGGGACCUUUCAACUCUCCUUCCACGCUGGGCAGGGACACGUCCACGUCACCUUUGACCUUGGGGCCCUUCAGGUUCAGGUCGAUGUCGGGCAUGGAGAUCUUGGGAGCCUUGAUGUGCAUCUCAGGCAUCUUGAACUUGGGGCCCUUCAGUUUUCCUUCAGGACCCUCAAUGUCCAGCUCUGGACCUUCAAUGUCCACCUUGGGGCCGGACACAUCCAGGUUUCCUGUCGGGAGGUUCACGUCCACCUCGGGACCUUCAGCCUUGAUGCCGGACAUCCCAAAUUUGGGCAUCUUGAACUUGGGCAUCUUGAAUUUUCCCUCAGGGCCAUGGAUGUCGACGUCGGGUGCCUCAAUGUCCACUUUGGGGCCUUUGAUGUCCAGUUCAGGACCCUUCAGGUCACCCUCCAGCUUGGGAACAGAAACAUCGAUGUCCCCCUUGACCUUGGGUCCUUUGAGGUUGAAGUCGACGUCGGGCAUGGAGAUCUUGGGGGCCUUGAUGUGCAUCUCGGGCAUCUUGAACUUGGGGCCUUUGAUCUUCCCUUCGGGACCUUCAAUGUCCACAUCAGGGAGAUCAACAUUGACUUUGGGGCCUUUGAUGUCGAUGUCUGGGGCUUUGAGGUCCCCCUCGAGCUUUGGAGCAGAGACAUCGAUGACCCCCUUCAAUUUGGGACCUUUCAGGUUGAAGUCGACGUCGGGCAUGGAAAUCUUGGGGGCCUUGAUGUUCAUCUCGGGCAUGGAGAAUUUGGGGCCUUUGACUUUCCCAUCCACGCUCAGCUCAGGAGCCUCCACGUCCACGCUGGGGCCCGAAACGGACACAUCACCCUUGGGGAGGGUCAGGUCCACGUCCACCCCAUCCCCUUUGAAGCC